UGAAGACGCAAGCAAGCAGAAGCCAAUCAACCUGUUGCUCCUCCCUUAUCUGUCCUCCCCUCCAUUCGUCCUCCUCUCGGGAGGAUAUAAAAGCCUGACAACUGCAAGCUGGCAGUUUCAUGAUUUGAGCGAGCAAACCAUUUUCUCUAAAUUCUUCAGUAGAAGUAAGGAUCGAGGCAUUCAACAUCAGCAUGCAGGGACGCUUGGUGGUCGUUGUCGCUGCUCUGGUGGUGAUGUGUCAGCUGACCACGUCCCUUGACACGUCGGCAGACGCGGAUGCUAUGAAGCCGAGUCUGUUUGGUGUGCUGACUAAAGGAGAGACGAACUCUGUUGUCAGUACAAUAGUAUCUGGCCCCUGUACAUGUGACCUCAUAGGACCUUGUCCUUGUGGACCUUCCGCUGUCGUCAUAAAUUAAAUGAAAGGCUGUGUACACAUCUCGUGCUGAAUAAAUAAGAUAUGAAUUGUAUUAUAUACAGCACAACACCUUGCCUGUAGUGAUCAACACACGCAAUAAACAGUUAUUGAAAAAGCUGGAACAUUUUUAUGUCUGUCAUAUUGAAAACACGUUUGUAAAAUAUUUUGUUUACCCUUUCAGGACUUUUUAGCAUAAAUGUGUUGUUGUCUUUGCUGUUCUCUCUCUCUCUGUCUUUCUCUCUCUCUCUGGAAUGUAAUGUUGCAUUGUUUGCUAUAUUUGUUUAUCUUUGAAUUUUCUAUCUCGUGUGAAUAUGUUGCAAUUUUUUUUUCUCUUUCUCUUCAUUUCUUCUUCUC